rnacentral:rRNA from 1 species
UACGGAGGGGACUAGCGUUGUUCGGAAUUACUGGGCGUAAAGCGCACGUAGGCGGAUUGUUAGUCAGGGGUGAAAUCCCGGAGCUCAACCUCGGAACUGCCUUUGAUACUGCAAUCUCGAGUCCGGAAGAGGUGAGUGGAAUUCCUAGUGUAGAGGUGAAAUUCGUAGAUAUUAGGAAGAACACCAGUGGCGAAGGCGGCUCACUGGUCCGGUACUGACGCUGAGGUGCGAAAGCGUGGGGAGCAAACAGG